rnacentral:lncRNA from 1 species
UGCUUGUAGCUUUAAGGCAUAUUUAUCUCCUUUUAAUCCUUUUUAUUCCGUCCUCCUUCCUCCAUCCUUGUCCUUACAUCAUGAUUGUUUUAGCUUCUACUUUUUUACUGCUUACUGUUACAAACGAUCUAAGUCAGUAGGAAACGAUCUAAAACAGCAUGCUCAUAUUUUGGCCAUUUUCAAAAUAAACAGCUCAAAAACACUUGUCUCGGAAAAAUAAGCAACGGGAAAUCUGAAACAAAAAAGACACUAUUUAGAGAUAUCAUCGGGUUUAAAAAAAUUAUUGAAAGAAUUCUUUGAUGUUCGAAAAUCCAUUAGAAGAUAUCACAAUCUAUAAUAUAACAUCUCAUCCCCAUGUAAAUCAAUAGACGACAGUAGCAAACCCCCAAAAGCAACCAUUGCAAAAUCCAAAGAAUAAGAAGAAAAAAAUUGACUUUAUCCCACAACUUGUGGAGAGAUAAACAGCAGCUAUAAACAUACACGGCAUUCCUCUCAGACCAAGGCCAUAAUAAUACCCAAUUUGAAUUCUUGUGGCUCAAGAUGAACUGCCUCUGAAAGCAUAAACACGGAUACGACAUGAUAUGGACAUGCUAACACAAUAAGUUCUAGAAAAGCAAGAAAGUACACCUUGACAACAUGUUAAUGAUAGAAAAUUAAUGGACAUUUGGCUUGUGUUUAUAACGUUCUGGAUGCUGGGUCUCCCGAUAUUAAAUACCUUGUGCAUGUGAAGUCGCAGUGUUUUCAUAUGAUUAUGUGAAAUUUCGCAUUGCCUCGUGGAGACAAGUCAAAAUUAUGUCUUAAGGCCAAUUCAAAGGUACCAGAUACUCUCAUUAACCAAGCGACCACAUAUUGAUACUUAUGUACCACUACUCUAAAUUUACCAUACCAAUUUUUUGUUGUUGUUUUAACUAUAAUUGCACAAACAUCCAUAUUCUAACCUAGCAUUGGAUGCUCAAGCAUUACAUUUGUACUACAUUAUUUAUAAAACCGCCAACUUGUUGACGCAACUAAAUUUUUGUUAAAAAAACAUAGGUUUAUUAACAUUUAGAUUUUAAGAAAAUUUCUAAAUAUAAGCACUAAAAUAAAGACAUCAUAGCGUACCGUGUUUUAGUUAUGUAGCAUAUUGCGUGCUCGUAUUGUUCAACAAAUCAAAACGAACCACGUUCCAGGAACGCUGGGCCAAUCCGGCAGUGGUUCCAUCUGCUCUGCAACCAUGGCCCCAAAAUUUACACGUAUAAAAUGUCCCAGUGCUGCCUGCUAGUAAUGAGGACUGAAUUUAUUUUGCUGGUGAGCCUACAUUACUUGCUACUGCCUCGCAACCACGGGCCCAUAAUUUACAAUCAUGAACUGUCCAAUCGCUGCCUACUGGUGGUGAGGACACCUGGUGCCUGCAGAAACACAUACAAAUAUUAGAUGAUUCAUUCUAGAAGUGUAGUUUUGUUGUUAGAACAGCAUUAUAUCAUAUUUUCUUUAACAAAAAGAGUGUUCCCAAGUUAGAAGGUGGAGGUUGGGUUGUAUACCUGGAGGUUUAUUCACUAACAGUCUCUACUAUUAACUUUUGAUAUUAAAAUUUUAAAAAAAAAUUACUUGUGGCAAAUGCAUACAUGAAAUAAAUUUCUGAAUAAAUAUUUACUAGCAGUUAAACACAAAUUUGUUGAAUUUGUAGAAAGAACAACUACAAAUUAAUUUUCUAGAAGUUGAUGGAAGGUCAACUGUAUGGCAUAAAUAUAGAUCAUACACAGUAACAAUUUAACUUUGAAUGCAUUUUUGUUGUAUGAUAUAAAAAAGAUAUCCUUUUUUCUUUGAUAAUUUUUAUCACCAACACAAAAUAUUACAAAAUAAAAAAGAUUAUCCAUUAAGUACGUAUAAUAUUAAUGCAUUUUGGUUGUAUGAUAUUAUAAAGAUUGUGAAUACAAAUAUUCCUGAUCCAGACUCUGUUCAUUAAUGGUUCUCUAUCAACCAAAAGAUUUUAGGAUUACUCUCUUCACUAACUAGUUAGAUAUGGUUUACAUACAUACUAAAAUUUCAGAGAAUAUUUAAAAUAACAACAUAUAUAGAUCUAUCUAAAAUAAAACCAUAUAUAGAUCUAUCGAACUAGAGUGAAAAAAAGAAGGGAAAAAAGACUUCCAAAAAUAUAAAUAACAAGUGUAUAUACAUAUUUGUCUCAUCAAAGAAACUAGCUAAUCAACUGAGUUGUUAAUUUGUUAGGUUUGGCGAAAACGUAACCUAGUAAAAACACGGUCAAUUUUGCAAAUAAUGUCCUAUGCAAACCAUUUAUCACUAUAAAAAAAACAUGUGUUCUAAAAAUCGGCCAAGAUGGGCGCCUAGGAGGAAUCAACCCUCCAUCGCCUCAAUUUGGCCCUAAUCGUUGCAAUAAUUGAUGGAGGUGGUGGUGGUGCCUACCUUGCUUAAAAUGUUUUUGCGGCCUUUCAGAUGCUUAGGUACUUGCCGAUACGGCGCUCACGUGAUCUCUUCUAACUAUCUUAAACCUUGUUGCCAAUGCAGAUUGAUUGACUCUCUCACUCUCACUUACAACGUGUUUCUCUCAGCGGCUGAGAGUUGAAAUGAAAGCGAUGGUUUCUAGGGUUUUUAUUAUAAGAAUUUGCAUUUAUACAAGUUUACAGGUUUGCCCUCUAUAGUUUUCGCAUACUAGUAAGUAAAAUGGGCCUUAAGAUCUGAUCCUAUUGCAGGCCUUAUAAGGUGUUGUGCAAUCUAUAAUCUUUAUAAGUUGGUUGGGUAAUACAAAAUAUAUUGUUGCAGUUUUCAUUUACUUCACUUUCCUUUAUAAAAUUCUUUUCAACUAGAAGAAACAUUGAAGAGUUUCCCUUAUUAGCCUUUUUAAGGCUUUUCUUUUCUUUUAAACAUGAUGUUCAAAGAAAUUUAAGUUACUUUACAUGUUAAUGAUGGUUAGCGCAGAGAGAACGAACGUGAGAAUAGGAAAUAAAGAUGGAAAGAUGAUAUUACGAAUAAUUACAUAAUAAUAAUAGAUUACAUCACUUUACAUAGACUAAAGAAACUAGAAUUAAUUUAGUAGGGAAAGCAAAGAGUCUUCUACUCAAAUUAAAAGAUAUACAUUAAGUAGACUAGAUUUAUGUCUAAAUAGUAAUACAAAGAAUUUACUAAAUUUAGAAAAACUCGUCCUCAUGUUUUAAAGUGUUGGAGAAUGAGAAACAAAAUGUCUACCAGCGAAGUCUCAUGUUCCCAUUUG